UACGGAGGGAGCUAGUGUUGUUCGGAAUUACUGGGCGUAAAGCGCACGUAGGCGGCUUUGUAAGUUAGAGGUGAAAGCCCGGGGCUCAACUCCGGAACUGCCUUUAAGACUGCAUCGCUUGAAUCCAGGAGAGGUGAGUGGAAUUCCGAGUGUAGAGGUGAAAUUCGUAGAUAUUCGGAAGGAACACCAGUGGCGAAGGCGGCUGCACUGGAGACUGG
rnacentral:rRNA from 1 species